AGUCCAAAUAAUUCAACCAUCUUCUUUUCAAAAACCCGAUUCAAUUCCAUUUCUCAAACAUAACAUCUUAAAUACUUUGAAAUAUCCCUUCCAUCAAAUUGAUCAAUUUUACUGACCACUGCUUGCAAUGCUUUGGUUGCUAAAGCUUCUUUACAAUCAUUACUUUGCUAUUGUUGCAUAGAUAAUGAUAAGGCUUGAAAC
rnacentral:lncRNA from 1 species